AAGUUGCAUCAUCUUCACCUCCAUGCAACAGAGAAAUGCUGGCCUCCAGGAGACAUCAGCGACUCCUGUGGUACAGGAAUGAAGACUGAUCACACUGUGGAUGAACAAGAACCAACUGUAAAACUCAAGAAGAAGAUUUAAGACUUCUUCACUGUUCUGCUUUCAGGGUUGUUAAAGGGACAGAGUCCGUUCUGCUGUUCACAUGGCUGCAGACUUUCUGGCUCUCCUGAAUGCUGCUAUAGCUAAUAAAGACAUGGUAACACUCACUAUGUCUCAGUGUGGGAGGAACAUGAAGAGGAGACAGUGGGACGGUGGACUGUGACUGGCUGUCUGAAGGCUCAACUGCUGCGAGACAUACUGACAGAAACACACCCCUCCCGCCAGAUGACCAGUGGAGCUGGACCGGGGAAAAGGAAAGUGUCUAUUGGCAAGGCAGGAGACGUAACCUGAUGAGAAGUAGAUCAUUGCUCUUCGAAACAUGUCCUCAGCACCAGCCUGCUCAGAAAAUGUUUCUGC